UCUUGCAUCUGUCACCUGAGUUUGGGACUGAGUGUGUUUUGAUGUCUUUUUUCCUUUGGGUGAGUGAGGCAUGCUUGGUGUGUUUUUUUGCAGUUUUUCUUCCCUCCCUUCUCUCAGUUUUUUGAAUCCUGUCUAACUUCCUGAGUUGGCACUAGCUGCACCUGCUGGUAAUCACGCACCUGUUCCUGAUCUGCCAUCCCUACCUCUUCUUAAGGAGAGACCAGACUUCCAUUCCCUGCUGGAUUGUUAAGUUGUGCACCAUUGCCUGCCUACCUGCCAGUUCCAAGUCUCUGGAAGCCAAGAUCCAACCCUCCCAGCCACACUCCAGCCAGCCACGCCAGCCAGCCCUCAUGUUCCAACUGCUCGGAAGGAGACUCCCUGCCACCUGACCCUGCCUCAAUCAAUAAACUGUUUGACUGCUG